AGAACGAACGCUGGCGGCAGGCCUAACACAUGCAAGUCGAACGCCCCGCAAGGGGAGUGGCAGACGGGUGAGUAACGCGUGGGAACAUACCUUUCGGUUCGGAAUAGCUCAGGGAAACUUGAAUUAAUACCGGAUACGUCCGCAAGGAGAAAGAUUUAUCGCCGAAAGAUUGGCCCGCGUCCGAUUAGCUAGUUGGUGAGGUAAUAGCUUACCAAGGCGACGAUCGGUAGCUGGUCUGAGAGGAUGAUCAGCCACACUGGGACUGAGACACGGCCCAGACUCCUACGGGAGGCAGCAGUGGGGGAUAUUGGACAAUGGGCGCAAGCCUGAUCCAGCCAUGCCGCGUGAGUGAUGAAGGCCCUAGGGUUGUAAAGCUCUUUCGUCAGGGACGAUAAUGACGGUACCUGAAGAAGAAGCCCCGGCUAACUUCGCGCCAGCAGCCGC
rnacentral:rRNA from 1 species